rnacentral:lncRNA from 1 species
CAGAAUUUUCCAUUGAGCGUGCUGUGUGCAAAUUUGCAAAACCAACUCCUACGUGCGGCAAAUAUGGAAAGUGAGUCGAGGAGAGAGGUGCAAAGGAAGCACAAGAAGUGAAGUGAGAAGAGAAGAAAAAAAGAAAGGAAAACCAUGUCCCACUUAGGAAGACACCUUAACAAGAAGUGAAAUGAGAAAUGAUGGACAAAAAAGAAGGAAAGUUAGAAACUCACAACUAUUCCAGCCAAAUCAAUCCAACAAUGAAACGCAUAUCACUAGACUCUUUAAUAAACCUCUAACACUCGUGUAGUAAUAGCUAACUUAAAACCAGUUAACAUUAAAACUUGUUCUAAAUAUCACACGACAAAUCUACAAGUAUGAUUUCUAUUAGCUGCCACGUCGAGGUGAGCAAUGCCAUGUGUCAGUCAUUUAGACUAUCUCAUGUUGGCAUUAAUAAAAAAAAUGUAAGGCUGUACAUUAAGACGAUUAACAGAUGGACCCACUCAAAACAAACCUCGCCCGACAUGCGCUGUUUGGCAAGAACGAUGGUGAGAGCUAGCGCGAAAUUGCUCAAGCACACACUCACACUAUAAACUAUGUGUGGGAUUGUACAUUUUUAUAAGGUUUUAUUUUUUGUAUUCUACUAAAAAAAUUCAAACAUCUUUAAAAAUAUAUAUAUUCUGAAAAAUGUUUGACCAACAAGUGUGAGAAAAGAGGGGGAAAAAAGGAAACCCAUGUCCCACUUAGUAAGACACCUUAACAAGAAGUAAAAUGAGAAAAGAAGGACAACAAAAAAGGAAAUUCAGAAACCAACAACUAUUCCAGCCAAAUCAAUCUACAUGA